UAAGUGUUAGUCUAGCUGGGUGUCUGUGGUGCACACCUGUGGUCCUAGCUACUCAGGAGGCUGAGAUCUGAGGAUCAUGGUUCAAAGCUAGCCAGGGUAGAAAAGUCUG